rfam:Sphaerobolus stellatus SS14 unplaced genomic scaffold SPHSTscaffold_185, whole genome shotgun sequence.
GACCCUAUAGCUCAGUUGGUAGAGCAUCCUAGAUAUUAUGGGAAGGUCCUAGGUUCAAAUCCUAGUGUGGUCA